CGUUAUCCACGGUUGAAAACAGGAUUAUCAGAUGAGUACNAGUUGUUCUUAAAAGUCAAAUGAUUUGGCGGACUUACACGAAACGUACAGGGGAAUCUGGGUNUUAAAGGAUGGUCCGCCUACAUUUGUUCCUUAUUUUAUGUUGCACAUGUAUGGCCGUUGUAACUAUUGNUCGUAAGGCUUGUGUGUAUUAGGUUGCUUUUCUAAGUAUAACAUAAGUAUUGUUAGACUGGCUAACCAAAUAAUUCAGGUUUUCAUUUGGCUAUUAAUAAGGCUAGCCUGGAUUACAGUUGAAAUUGAACAUAUCGGAUUUAUUAAGGAAACUUUUUACUUNAAGGGGGACUUGUAAGUAAAACUGUAAAAUAAUGGCAGUUUGAACGAGGUGUAGUAGUACAA
rnacentral:rRNA from 2 species